rnacentral:rRNA from 1 species
UACGUAGGGUGCAAGCGUUUUCCGGAAUUAUUGGGCGUAAAGAGCUCGUAGGCGGUUUGUCGCGUCUGCUGUGAAAACCCGGGGCUCAACCUCGGGCCUGCAGUGGGUACGGGCAGACUAGAGUGCGGUAGGGGAGAUUGGAAUUCCUGGUGUAGCGGUGAAAUGCGCAGAUAUCAGGAGGAACACCGGUGGCGAAGGCGGGUCUCUGGGCCGAUAUUGACGCUGAGGAGCGAAAGCGUGGGGAGCAAACAGG